AUUGAACGCUGGCGGCAUGCCUUACACAUGCAAGUCGAACGGCAGCACGGGAGCAAUCCUGGUGGCGAGUGGCGGACGGGUGAGUAAAGUAUCGGAACGUGCCCAGUCGUGGGGGAUAACGUAGCGAAAGUUACGCUAAUACCGCAUACGAUCUAUGGAUGAAAGCGGGGGAUCGCAAGACCUCGAGCGAUUGGAGCGGCCGCUAUCAGAUUAGGUAGUUGGUGGGGUAAAGGCUCACCAAGCCGACGAUCUGUAGCUGGUCUGAGAGUACGCCCAGCCACAAUGGGACUGAGACACGGCCCAGACUCCAACUGGAGGCAGGAGUGGGGAAUUUUGGACAAUGGGCGAAAGCCUAGUCCAGCCAUGCCGCGUGCAGGAUGAAGGCCUUCGUGUAGUAUACUGCUUAUGUACGGAACGAAAAGGUUUGGCCUAAUAAGCUGAGCUCAUGACGGUGCCGUAAGAAUAAGCACCGGCUAACUACGUGCCAGCCGCCGCGGUAAGAC
rnacentral:rRNA from 1 species